rnacentral:rRNA from 1 species
UACGGGGGGGGCAAGCGUUGUUCGGAAUUACUGGGCGUAAAGGGCUCGUAGGCGGCCAACUAAGUCAGACGUGAAAUCCCUCGGCUUAACCGGGGAACUGCGUCUGAUACUGGAUGGCUUGAGAUUGGGAGAGGGAUGCGGAAUUCCAGGUGUAGCGGUGAAAUGCGUAGAUAUCUGGAGGAACAUCGGUGGCGAAGGCGGCAUCCUGGACCGGUAUUGACGCUGAGGCGCGAAAGCCAGGGGAGCAAACGGG